rnacentral:rRNA from 1 species
UACGUAGGGAGCAAGGGUUGUCCGGAAUCAUUGGGCGUAAAGCGCGCGUAGGCGGCCCCGUAAGUCCGCUGUGAAAGUCAAAGGCUCAACCUUUGAAAGCCGGUGGAUACUGUCGGGCUAGAGUACGGAAGAGGCAAGUGGAAUUCCUGGUGUAGCGGUGGAAUGCGCAGAUAUCAGGAGGAACACCUAUAGCGAAGGCAGCUUGCUGGGACGUUACUGACGCUAAGGCGCGAAAGCGUGGGGAGCGAACAGG